GCCUGGGUGGCUCAGUGGGUUAAGCCUCUGCCUUCAGCUCAGAUCAUGGUCAUAGAGUCCUGGGUUCAAGCCCCACCUUGGGCU
rnacentral:tRNA from 1 species